rnacentral:rRNA from 1 species
AUUGAACGCUGGCGGCAGGCCUAACACAUGCAAGUCGAGCGGAUGUAGGGAGCUUGGUCCUGGAUUCAGCGGCGGACGGGUGAGUAAUGCCUAGGAAUCUGCCUGGUAGUGGGGGAUAACGUCCGGAAACGGGCGCUAAUACCGCAUACGUCCUGAGGGAGAAAGUGGGGGAUCUUCGGACCUCACGCUAUCAGAUGAGCCUAGGUCGGAUUAGCUAGUUGGUGGGGUAAAGGCCUACCAAGGCGACGAUCCGUAACUGGUCUGAGAGGAUGAUCAGUCACACUGGAACUGAGACACGGUCCAGACUCCUACGGGAGGCAGCAGUGGGGAAUAUUGGACAAUGGGCGAAAGCCUGAUCCAGCCAUGCCGCGUGUGUGAAGAAGGUCUUCGGAUUGUAAAGCACUUUAAGUUGGGAGGAAGGGCAGUAAGUUAAUACCUUGCUGUUUUGACGUUACCAACAGAAUAAGCACCGGCUAACUUCGUG